AUUGAACGCUGGCGGCAGGCCUAACACAUGCAAGUCGAGCGAGCGGCGGACGGGUGAGUAAUGUCUGGGACACUGCCUUAUGGAUGGGGAUAACUACUGGAAACGGUAGCUAAUACCGCACACCAUCAGAUGUGCCCCGCUGGGAUUAGAUAGUAGGUGGGGUAACGGCUCACCUAGGCGAAGAUUCCUAGCUGGUCUGAGAGGAUGACCAGCCACACGGGAACUGAGACACGGUCCAGACUCCUACGGUAGGCAGCAGUGGGGAAUAUUGCACAAGGGGCGCAAGCCGGAUGCAGCCAUGCCGCGUGUGUGAAGAAGGCCUUAGGGUUGUAAAGCACUUUCAGCGGGGAGGCGUUACCCGCAGAAGAAGCACCGGCUAACUCCGUGCCAGCAGCCGCGGUAAUUC
rnacentral:rRNA from 1 species